AGCAGCCGCCGCGGUAAUACGGAGGGGGCAAGCGUUGUUCGGAUUUACUGGGCGUAAAGGGCGCGUAGGCGGACUGAUAAGUCAGGGGUGAAAUCCCAAGGCUCAACCUUGGAACUGCCUUUGAUACUGUUUGUCUUGAGUUCGAGAGAGGUAAGUGGAACUGCGAGUGUAGAGGUGAAAUUCGUAGAUAUUCGCAAGAACACCAGUGGCGAAGGCGGCUUACUGGCUCGAAACUGACGCUGAGGCGCGAAAGCGUGGGGAGCAAACAGGAUUAGAUACCCCUGUAGUCCCUGUCUCUUAUAA
rnacentral:rRNA from 1 species